AGACCGAUAGCGAACAAGUACCGUGAGGGAAAGAUGAAAAGCACUUUGGAAAGAGAGUUAAACAGUACGUGAAAUUGUUGAAAGGGAAACGCUUGAAGUCAGUCGCGUUGUUCAAGACUCAGCCUGGCUUCUGCCUGGUGUACUUCUUGAUCGACGGGUCAACAUCGAUUUUGGCCGGCGGAUAAGGGUCAGGGGAAUGUGGCACCUUCGGGUGUGUUAUAGCCUCUGAUCACAUACGUCGGCUGGGAUCGAGGACCGCAGCGCGCCCUUGUGGCCGGAGGUUCGCCUCACGUACCGCGCUUAGGAUGUUGACAAAAUGGCUUUAAGCGACCCGUCUUGAAACACGGACCAAG
rnacentral:rRNA from 1 species